AGUGAACGCUGGCGGCAGGCCUAACACAUGCAAGUCGAACGGCAGCACAGGGGAGCUUGCUCCCUGGGUGGCGAGUGGCGGACGGGUGAGGAACACAUCGGAAUCUGCCUAUUUGUGGGGGAUAACCUCGGGAAACCGGGACUAAUACCGCAUACGACCUACGGGUGAAAGCCGGGGACCUUCGGGCCUGGCGCAGAUAGAUGAGCCGAUGUCGGAUUAGCUAGUUGGAGGGGUAAAGGCCCACCAAGGCGACGAUCCGUAGCUGGUCUGAGAGGAUGAUCAGCCACACGGGGACUGAGACACGGCCCAGACUCCUACGGGAGGAAGCAGUGGGGAAUAUUGGACAAUGGGCGCAAGCCUGAUCCAGCCAUGCCGCGUGAGUGAAGAAGGCCCUCGGGUUGUAAAGCUCUUUUGUUGGGAAAGAAAAGCAGCCGGUUAAUACCCGGUUGUUCUGACGGUACCCAAAGAAUAAGCACCGGCUAACUUCGUGCCAGCCGCCGCAGUAA
rnacentral:rRNA from 1 species